rnacentral:rRNA from 1 species
UACGGAGGAUCCAAGCGUUAUCCGGAAUCAUUGGGUUUAAAGGGUCCGUAGGCGGUUUGGUAAGUCAGUGGUGAAAGCCCAUCGCUCAACGGUGGAACGGCCAUUGAUACUGCCAGACUUGAAUUAUUAGGAAGUAACUAGAAAUAUGUAGUGUAGCGGUGAAAUGCUUAGAGAUUACAUGGAAAUACCAAUUGCGAAGGCAGGUUACUACUAAUGGAUUUGACGCUGAUGGACGAAAGCGUGGGUAGCGAAACAGG